GCCCCUCGUGGUGCGCGCCGUCCGCUCGCGCUCCUGGCCUGCCAGCCCCCGAGGCCCGCAGCCUCCGCGGAUCCGGGCCCGCUCGGCCCCUCCCAUGUUUCGCAGGUACUUUGGGCUGCACACGCUUCUCCGGACCCAAAAGAUGCACAUGCUUUUCAGAAACCGUAAGGUUUACCUGGGGCUGUAAAACCGCACAUUCGCGACUUUGCACCGUGCACACGCUUGCCCCGAUGUGAGAUUUCCCCUGGGUUCGCGCUCGGGUCCGCUUCUUAAAUACACUGCCUCAGCGGUGUGGAUGGCACAGAGCUGUGGCAGCCCUACUGAAACCUUAAACAGGCUUCCUGGGGUCAUAAACAUGGAUACCGAGACUUACAUCACCUCCCACAACUUAAACGUACCCCUUCACUCCACUGCCUUCGCCCCUUCCUGCAGCAUUCGCAUCUAGUUGUUCAAAAGUGCUUUCCGGGUCCUCAGACAUGCACCCCAAGGUUUUAAACCUCAGUGCAAGUACUAGAUGGGCUUCCCUGUGCAAUAGGGAUGUCAGGCGCGCGCAGUUUUGCACACGAUUGCCAAGAUGUGAGAUUUACUUUAGGUUGCACCUUAACCGUCGUUUUUAAAUGUGAUCGUCCCAUCUUGAUGUGCUGCUCCUGCUGUGGAAGGUAUCCCUGGGUUUUAGGCAAGCAUAUCUGUUCUUUACUAUGCUCCAGAUCCCAGCAUAUUUGAAGUCCUGAGUCAA
rnacentral:sRNA from 1 species